rnacentral:rRNA from 1 species
GAUGAACGCUGGCGGCGUGCCUAACACAUGCAAGUCGAGCGAACCCUUCGGGGUGAGCGGCGGACGGGUGAGUAACGCGUGGGUAACCUGCCCUGUACACACGGAUAACAUACCGAAAGGUAUGCUAAUACGAGAUAAUAUAUUUUAAUCGCAUGGUUAAGAUAUCAAAGCUCCGGCGGUACAGGAUGGACCCGCGUCUGAUUAGCUAGUUGGUGAGGUAAUGGCUCACCAAGGCGACGAUCAGUAGCCGACCUGAGAGGGUGAUCGGCCACACUGGAACUGAGACACGGUCCAGACUCCUACGGGAGGCAGCAGUGGGAAUAUUGCACAAUGGGCGAAAGCCUGAUGCAGCAACGCCGCGUGAGCGAUGAAGGCCUUCGGGUCGUAAAGCUCUGUCCUCAAGGAAGAUAAUGACGGUACUUGAGGAGGAAGCCCCGGCUAACUACGUGCCAGCAGCAGCCGCCG